rnacentral:rRNA from 1 species
UGACUGCGUACCUUUUGUAUAAUGGGUCAGCGACUUAUAUUCUGUAGCAAGGUUAACCGAAUAGGGGAGCCGGAGGGAAACCGAGUCUUAACCGGGCGUUAAGUUGCAGGGUAUAGACCCGAAACCCGGUGAUCUAGCCAUGGGCAGGUUGAAGGUUGGGUAACACUAACUGGAGGACCGAACCGACUAAUGUUGAAAAAUUAGCGGAUGACCUGUGGCUGGGGGUGAAAGGCCAAUCAAACCGGGAGAUAGCUGGUUCUCCCCGAAAGCUAUUUAGGUAGCGCCUCGUGAAUUCAUCUCCGGGGGUAGAGCACUGUUUCGGCUAGGGGGCCAUCCCGGCUUACCAACCCGAUGCAAACUGCGAAUACCGGAGAAUGUUAUCACGGGAGACACACGGCGGGUGCUAACGUCCGUCGUGAAGAGGGAAACAACCCAGACCGCCAGCUAAGGUCCCAAAGUCAUGGUUAAGUGGGAAACGAUGUGGGAAGGCCCAGACAGCCAGGAUGUUGGCUUAGAAGCAGCCAUCAUUUAAAGAAAGCGUAAUAGCUCACUGGUCGAGUCGGCCUGCGCGGAAGAUGUAACGGGGCUAAACCAUGCACCGAAGCUGCGGCAGCGACACUGUGUGUUGUUGGGUAGGGGAGCGUUCUGUAAGCCUGUGAAGGUGUGUCGUGAGGCAUGCUGGAGGUAUCAGAAGUGCGAAUGCUGACAUAAGUAACGAUAAAGCGGGUGAAAAGCCCGCUCGCCGGAAGACCAAGGGUUCCUGUCCAACGUUAAUCGGGGCAGGGUGAGUCGACCCCUAAGGCGAGGCCGAAAGGCGUAGUCGAUGGGAAACGGGUUAAUAUUCCCGUACUUGGUGUUACUGCGAAGGGGGGACGGAGAAGGCUAUGUUGGCCGGGCGACGGUUGUCCCGGUUUAAGUGUGUAGGUGUGUGUUCCAGGUAAAUCCGGUUCACUUUAACACUGAGGCGUGACGACGAGGCACUACGGUGCUGAAGCAACAAAUGCCCUGCUUCCAGGAAAAGCCUCUAAGCAUCAGGUAACAUCAAAUCGUACCCCAAACCGACACAGGUGGUCAGGUAGAGAAUACCAAGGCGCUUGAGAGAACUCGGGUGAAGGAACUAGGCAAAAUGGUGCCGUAACUUCGGGAGAAGGCACGCUGACACGUAGGUGAAGUGAUUUACUCAUGGAGCUGAAGUCAGUCGAAGAUACCAGCUGGCUGCAACUGUUUAUUAAAAACACAGCACUGUGCAAACACGAAAGUGGACGUAUACGGUGUGACGCCUGCCCGGUGCCGGAAGGUUAAUUGAUGGGGUCAGCGCAAGCGAAGCUCCUGAUCGAAGCCCCGGUAAACGGCGGCCGUAACUAUAACGGUCCUAAGGUAGCGAAAUUCCUUGUCGGGUAAGUUCCGACCUGCACGAAUGGCGUAAUGAUGGCCAGGCUGUCUCCACCCGAGACUCAGUGAAAUUGAACUCGCUGUGAAGAUGCAGUGUACCCGCGGCAAGACGGAAAGACCCCGUGAACCUUUACUAUAGCUUGACACUGAACAUUGAGCCUUGAUGUGUAGGAUAGGUGGGAGGCUUUGAAGUGUGGACGCCAGUCUGCAUGGAGCCGACCUUGAAAUACCACCCUUUAAUGUUUGAUGUUCUAACGUGGACCCGUUACCCGGGUUGCGGACAGUGUCUGGUGGGUAGUUUGACUGGGGCGGUCUCCUCCUAAAGAGUAACGGAGGAGCACGAAGGUUGGCUAAUCCUGGUCGGACAUCAGGAGGUUAGUGCAAUGGCAUAAGCCAGCUUGACUGCGAGCGUGACGGCGCGAGCAGGUGCGAAAGCAGGUCAUAGUGAUCCGGUGGUUCUGAAUGGAAGGGCCAUCGCUCAACGGAUAAAAGGUACUCCGGGGAUAACAGGCUGAUACCGCCCAAGAGUUCAUAUCGACGGCGGUGUUUGGCACCUCGAUGUCGGCUCAUCACAUCCUGGGGCUGAAGUAGGUCCCAAGGGUAUGGCUGUUCGCCAUUUAAAGUGGUACGCGAGCUGGGUUUAGAACGUCGUGAGACAGUUCGGUCCCUAUCUGCCGUGGGCGCUGGAGAACUGAGGGGGGCUGCUCCUAGUACGAGAGGACCGGAGUGGACGCAUCACUGGUGUUCGGGUUGUCAUGCCAAUGGCACUGCCCGGUAGCUAAAUGCGGAAGAGAUAAGUGCUGAAAGCAUCUAAGCACGAAACUUGCCCCGAGAUGAGUUCU